GGUAACACCAGGCAAUGGGCCAGUAUAUCUGACCUCUGACCUUGUGUUUCCAUCAGCCAAUAGGAGCUCAGAGAGAGACCAGAGAGAUAUCCCCCCUUCACUGGUACAGCUGACUGAACUACUGGGGGACAAAGUGAACACACUCUGAAAGACUGUCUCACUAGACGAACAGCCUGAAAGAGGUUCAACAACAUCUGGAGCACCUGAGCUGAGUGACUUGGCAGGCCAGAGGAACGAGGUUGAGACACUCCUGAACUAAGUGACUUGGCAGGCCAGAGGAACGAGGUUGAGACACUCCUGAACUAAGUGACUUGGCAGGCCAGAGAAACGAGGUUGAGACGCUCCUGAGCUGAGUGACUUGGCAGGCCAGAGGAACGAGGUUGAGACGCUCCUGAGCUGAGUGACUUGGCAGGCCAGAGGAACGAGGUUGAGACGCUCCUGAGCUGAGUGACUUGGCAGGCCAGAGAAACGAGGUUGAGACGCUCCUGAACUGAGCUGAGUGACUUGGCAGGCAAGAGGAACGAGGUUGAGACGCUCCUGAACUAAGUGACUUGGCAGGCCAGAGAAACGAGGUUGAGACACUCCUGAACUGAGCUGAGUGACUUGGCAGGCCAGAGGAACGAGGUUGAGACGCUCCUGAGCUGAGUGACUUGGCAGGCCAGAGGAACGAGGUUGAGACGCUCCUGAACUAAGUGACUUGGCAGGCCAGAGAAACGAGGUUGAGACGCUCCUGAACUGAGCUGAGUGACUUGGCAGGCCAGAGGAACGAGGUUGAGACGCUCCUGAACUGAGUGACUUGGCAGGCCAGAGGAACGAGGUUGAGACAACAGAGAGGCCCAAAACGUAGAGGCUUGUACUUGGUUACUGCUUGCCUGGUGGGAGCUACAGAUUGCAGGUCCUGACCUCUCUACAGGACAUACUGAGAGGAGACUACAAGACUUCUCCUACAGGGUCACCCACCACAACAUGCAAGGGAAAAGUGAACACGAACACCAAGACAAUAAUAUGGAAUCAGACUUUGAUCCCAACAAGCAGCCUGAAAGUCCCCCGUCUGAGAAUGAGCCCUCCAAUCCUGUCAAAGUCCGCCAGAACCCCAAAUAUCAGCUGUUCCUGGAUGGAGACAUGAUUGGGAACGGAUCCAGGGAUACAAAUGGAACGUCUGGGAGAGAGAACGGGAACGGGAGAGAACCCAGGAACAGUUCCCGCUUGGACAGCGCUAGCUCCAGAUUCGGGCCAAACUACCGCGGGUCCCUGGAAUCGCUUGCCUCUCGGGACUGGGACACCAUGUCAGACAGGGUGGGAGGUUUUGAGAGUCCUCCCAGGGUGUUCAACAGUCCCUACGCUACAGUGGCUUCCAUGGAAUACAACCCUGGAAUGAACCGGAUGUCAGAGCAAAAGAUGCAGGAGGUGAUGUCUCCAGCCACGUCAGAGCUGAACCUGUUCAACAGCUACAACAGCAGAAGUAGCAGCCCUGUGCUCUCCUUCACCUCGGCUGCGACCUCCUCACGUGCUCGCUUCUCAACCUUCGACUCUCUCAGGAGGCGGGACCAGCCGGUGAUGCCAAGCCAACUGCCCAUACGGUCCACAGUGUCACCUGUUGCUAUGCCCAGCAAGAGAGACUACAUCGAGGAGCUGACCAGACAGAUGGAUGCCUGUCAGAAGAGGAACCAGUUCCUGGAGGCAGAGAGCAUAGAGAUGGACAAGGAGAGGAACCAGAUCAGGUUGGAGAUGAGAGGCCUGUUGGUGAACAACGAGGACCUUCUCAGAACCAACAGUACCCUGCAGACGGAGAUGAACAGGAUGAGGAUGAGGAUGGUAGAGCUGGAGAGAGACAACACGGCCAUGACGGAACGCUUCAAAGUUAUGGAGACGGAGCUGACCGAGGCCAGGGCCCAGAUGGUGGAGGCCAACACUCAGGAAUACGCCUUCAACUUCCUGCAGCAGUCUCUGAAGAAUAAGAUACAGGUCGCUGAGGAGGCGCUAGAGAAGCAGACGCUCCAUGCCCAGGGGCUGUCAGAGAAGCUGUGGCUAUCUGAGAGACAGUUGGAGGAUCUAGAGGUGGACAAGGAGACACGGGACAAGAAGAGAUCAGAGCUCAGCGACACGGUCUUCAGACUGGAGACUGAGCUAGAAGAGGCUCUACAGAAAGCCACCCAGGCGACAGCAGAGCUCAGUCUGCAACAGAAGCUACGAGAUGACGCCCUGCUGAGGGUAGAGGAGAUGGAGGAGAGUUUACUGGAGAGGGGUCAGGAGCUGCAGAUAGCCCAACAGACUGUCAGCCGCCUACAGGGACAGGUGUCCGAUAAGCUGAUAGAUAAGGAGCGUUCUCUGGAGGAGGAGAUCCAGCUGAGAGAGAGAGUUCAGCUGCAGUGGAAGCAGGCAGAGAGGAGCGUAGAGGACCUAACCAUGGAGCUACAGACUGCUGCACAGACCAAGGAAGACCUGGUCAAGCAACUCAAACAGGCUCAGGAGAAACUGUUAGAUCUUGAGAGCGACCUGGAGGAGAUGCAGGACAGUGAACAGAGAUGGGCCAGCAAGAACAAGAGAGCCAUCGAACAGACAGAACAGCUCCAGCUGAAGCUGAUCCAGCAGAAAGACGUGAAUGAGCAGCUGGACAGUGAGAAGAGCAUCCUGGAGAGACAGCUGCGGGACCUGCGUGUGGAGGUGGAGAAUCUCCAACACACCAGAGUUCAUGAGGAUGUCAUCACUAAGACGGAGAGCCGGGCCAAGGAGCUGGAGAACGCUCUGAGGGUGGAGGAGAGGAACAAGGUGGUGAUGAACAACACCAUCAGUAAACUGGAGAGGAAGAACAACGAACUGUCUGAUCAACUGGAGGAGGAACAUAAGAUGGCCAAGGAGCAGAAGGACCUGAUGUCCCAGAGGAUGCGUUCCCUGAAGCGUCAGCUGAACGAGGCAGAGGAGGAGUCCAGUCGUAGAGACGCUCAGUACCGCCACACCCAGAGAGAACUGACAGAGGAGAGAGAGACCUCUAACAGACUACAGAAACAGCUCCUAGACCAGCACCUCCAACUCAAACGUAAGGAGUCCACCAUGGCGAUGAGACAGACUCUGGAAGAUCUACGUCUGGACCUUAGUGUGGAUGAGGAGGACCAGACCCUUCCAGUACCCACGGCCUCCAAGGCCUGAGACACCCUUCCUGGGACAGUAUUACAGCAUAGCACCAGCCAUACUAGCCUUACUCAUAACGCCUUUGUCCUAGAUUCAAUCCGGCCUGCAGAAGAUCCAUGUCAUAGCGCGAUUGACAUUUAUAGCUCAUUUCCCAUUGAUCCGGCAUAUGCAGCAUUCAACGUGAAUGUGGGUCUCAGCGAAUGGUGGGAACGUUGCCUUUGAAACGUGCAUAAAUGGGACAAAAUGAGAUGGGAUUGAAUCUAGGUAUAAAGGUACCAUUCAUACCACCAAUACAGGACGUACAGGGAACUUACAGCAGCAUCCUGUCAGCCAAUCAAAUCAGCACCCGCGUGUUUGAUUUUCAGGUUCAGCCAAUCAAAUCAGUACCCGCGUGUUUGAUUUUCAGGUUCAGCCAAUCAAAUCAGCACCCGCGUGUUUGAUUUUCAGGUUCAGCCAAUCAAAUCAGCACCCGCGUGUUUGAUUUUCAGGUUCAGCCAAUCAAAUCAGUACCCGCGUGUUUGAUUUUCAGGUUCAGCCAAUCAAAUCAGCACCCGCGUGUUUGAUUUUCAGGUUCAGCCAAUCAAAUCAGGUUCAAAAAAUUACUGUAGCAUCUGAUAAAACAUUGUUUUAUAUUUUUUAUUAAAUCAAUCAAAAAUCUGCAGGUAAUGUAAAAUGUAAACCAGGUUGUCUUUACUUCCAUCAGGCUGCGUUUCCCUCUGGGUCCCAAAUGAGGUGCACAUUGAGGUUUUUACACUACACAGCUGGUUUAAAUGAUCUAAGCUUUAAUCAGCCGUGUAUUCGGACCCCCUUUGGGGUCCCGAGGUCAGAGUUUGUGAAACCCUGCUAUAAGGGAGUUUAUUUGGUAAAACUCCUUUUUUAAAUGUAAGUAAAUUAAAAUCCUAUGGGCUUGUAUCUUUCCUGAUUCAUUACUAAUGCCUUAACAGAGAUAAUCAAUUGGAAAAUAAAAAACAUUUUAUUAAAUCAAUUGUGUCAAAUAUGACUAACAAUAAAAAUAGACAGGAUUUGGGGAUUAUGUAAUGUUAGAGGGAUUUGGGGAUUAUGUAAUGUUAGAGGGAUUUGGGGAUUAUGUAAUGUUAGAGGGAUUUGGGGAUUAUGUAAUGUUAGAGGGAUUUGGGGAUUAUGUAAUGUUAGAGGGAUUUGGGCAAUAUUGUCUGCAAAUUACCAAAGCAAAUCUGUUGCAAAAUGUAGUUUAAUAGUUUGUUAGAAGCUUUAUACAUUCAUUUCCACUUAUCUUAUAUCUACAUGGUAUUGGGUAUUACUGUGCUACACUGUAGACUUUGGGGAAAAGGGCGCUGUAUUUUAUUAAUAUAUAUAAAUGGAAAAUCUUUAUUUUCACACCCAUUGAGCAGAAUGUGGAAGUGUCUUCCUUUUACGAUGCUUGGCGGACAGACAGCCUGAAUGAGUGAAGUCGGUGGGACCAUUUACCAGUAUACUGCACUGUUUACAACACUUGUUACUUCAACCCUGAGCUAAACAUGGGUGAGCAGAACCUGGGCGAGCAGAACCUGGGCGUGCAGAACCUGGGUGAGCAGAACCUGGGCGAGCAGAACCUGGGCGAGCAGAACCUGGGCGAGCAGAACCUGGGCGAGCAGAACCUGGAUGAGCAGAACCUGGAUGAGCAGAACCUGGAUGAGCAGACCCUGGGAGUGAGUGAGGACCCAAGACAAAUGUUUCACAGAAGAGGAAAGAGACCAUGUUAUUCUCGCGUUGGGGAAUCUAAAAGGGAAUCUAUUCUGUCUGCAUUGUGGGAAGCUGCUGGAUCUUACCGGAUGGAUCUGAAUGACUUGCUGUCCUGCUGUUUACAUGACAGGACAGGUGGAAUCACUAACAGUCACUGUGUACUCUACUGGCAUAAACCGACGAUAAACAUGCAUUAGACAGGACAGGACAGGUGGAAUCACUAACAGUCACUGUGUACUCAGGCUCCUCCCUCACUGAGGUGGAAUCACUAACAGACACUGUGUACUCAGGCUCCUCCCUCACUGAGGUGGAAUCACUAACAGACACUGUGUACUCAGGCUCCUCCCUCACUGAGGUGGAAUCACUAACAGACACUGUGUACUCAGGCUCCUCCCUCACUGAGGUGGAAUCACUAACAGACACUGUGUACUCAGGCUCCUCCCUCACUGAGGUGGAAUCACUAACAGACACUGUGUACUCAGGCUCCUCCCUCACCGAGGUGGAAUCACUAACAGUCACUGUGUACUCAGGCUCCUCCCUCACUGAGGUGGAAUCACUAACAGACACUGUGUACUCAGGCUCCUCCCUCACCGAGGUGGAAUCACUAACAGUCACUGUGUACUCAGGCUCCUCCCUCACCGAGGUGGAAUCACUAACAGACACUGUGUACUCAGGCUCCUCCCUCACUGAGGUGGAAUCACUAACAGUCACUGUGUACUCAGGCUCCUCCCUCACUGAGGUGGAAUCACUAACAGUCACUGUGUACUCAGGCUCCUCCCUCACUGAGGUGGAAUCACUAACAGACACUGUGUACUCAGGCUCCUCCAUCACUGAGGUGGAAUCACUAACAGACACUGUGUACUCAGGCUCCUCCAUCACUGAGGUGGAAUCACUAACAGACACUGUGUACUCAGGCUCCUCCCUCACUGAGGUGGAAUCACUAACAGACACUGUGUACUCAGGCUCCUCCAUCACUGAGCAGGUAGGCGUGAGGAUCUCGUGUGUAUUGUGAUGGGAUUUUAUAUUGUGAUAAGAUGUUUUCUGGGUGUUUUUCUGGUUGUAUAGAGCUCCCCUCUAUUGGGUCACUGUCAGGGGAAACGUACAGUAUUUCGGUUGGCAAAAUGUUCCUUUUCUCCUUUCUUCUUCGCUGGCAAAACCAAAUAAAAGGGGACGCAGUGUUAUUGAGGCCCUGUUUUUUUUCUAUAAUCUACUAUAGGCCUAUAAAUUAAAACGAUAGAGAGCAAUAUUAAUGGCGUCUUUUUGAGGGCGCUAAAGGAGGCUAACUCCACCUUGUUUGACAAAUUAAUGUUUUUUUUUGUUGUUGUUGGUUGUUUGUUGGUUUGGGAUAUUAAAUGGUCAAAAUAAGGCAUGUGGUAAACACAGACUUAGGCGAUUUUAUACAUUUAGUUCUAUGAGAUCAUCUUCGUCAGCUAACAUCACUUUUUUUGUGAAUUUUGAAGCAUUUAUGUACUCAAAACAAGUGAAAAGCUACCGAUGUGCUAACAUGUAAAAAAUAAAUAAAUGAAACUACACGUCAGGUUGCCUUUGACGUCUCCAACGAAGCUCGAGAACUCCUAACACUUGGCUGUUGUAGUUCCAUUUCUGACAGCUAGCGACUCUUUAGCAACGGACUCAUUUUGAUUCAUAGAGGUCAUGUUAACUGACUGAUUCUGGUGUUAACCUCAAACCUUAUUGCCCCGUUUAUUUCACCCAUAGGAAUGUCUGCACGAUCCAGAUGUAGAAACUAACAACUCAUUAAAUUAUUUUUUUAUGGCUUCGAGCUAGCGAGUUCUGUAAGUGAUAUUAUUUUCACGUGACUUCAGACGUCACGUGACUUCAGACGUCACGUGACUUCAGACGUCACGUGACUUCAGACGUCACGUGACUUCAGACGUCACGUGACUUCAGACGUCACAUGCUAAAGGUGCUGGUAUUUAUUCUCCUUUUCUGAUGUUUUUAUCUUCCUACAACUAUGAAUGUUAAUAUUAAAUACUUUUUGUUUUAA